rnacentral:lncRNA from 1 species
AGAAUCUCCAGUCUUCCUGUGUGUGGAUUGAAAGAACAGGAGCAACAUGAGGCUGAAUCGCUCAACACCAAACUCCAGCUGCUGAAGAACAGACUGGUGACAGUCCAGUUACAGCUGCAAGAGAGACACGGCGAAGAUCAGGUGCAUGUUGAGAGUCAGCGCCCCCUGCAGGCCAGGUUGACGCGCAGCAGCAGUGUGCAGGAGAUGUUGAGUUCUUCCAAAACCAAACUGUUUAGACAGAGCAGCCUUCAACAACAAAGGGAACUGGAGCAUGGAUUGAAUGAACAGAAGGAUCUAACUAAAGCUAUUGCAAUUCAAGGCAGCAGAGCCCAAACACAGAGCCAGAGCACAGAUGAACAUGCAGGCCCCUCACCAGCAAAUGAAGAUAAAAGACAGGAAGUAGAGUUAGCAGCAGUCCACAGGAAGUGGACACACCUCUGCAGCAGAUUGACCAAGACAGCAGAGACAGAGCAAGGUGGAGAUAAAGAUCAGGAUCCAUCUGAGAUCCUCGCUCCAUCUGUGUGUUUGUGGACUGGAGCUGCUGUUUCUUUCUGUCUCCAGGAGAUUCAAUCCAACAUCUCACAACUCAAAGAACUGCAAAACUCAGCAGUUACAAAGGUAA